CCUACGGGAGGCAGCAGUGAGGAAUAUUGGUCAAUGGCCGAGAGGCUGAACCAGCCAAGUCGCGUGAGGGAAGACGGCCCUACGGGUUGUAAACCUCUUUUGUCGGGGAGCAAAGAGAACCACGUGUGGUUCAUUGAGAGUACCCGAAGAAAAAGCAUCGGCUAACUCCGUGCCAGCAGCCGCGGUAAUACGGAGGAUGCGAGCGUUAUCCGGAUUUAUUGGGUUUAAAGGGUGCGCAGGCGGAUUUUUAAGUCAGAGGUCAAAUCGUGGGGCUCAACCCCAUCCAGCCGUUGAAACUGGGGAUC
rnacentral:rRNA from 1 species